rnacentral:rRNA from 1 species
UACGUAGGGGGUUAGCGUUGUUCGGAAUCACUGGGCGUAAAGCGAACGUAGGCGGCGCGUUAAGUCAGGGGUGAAAUCCUGGAGCUCAACUCCAGAACUGCCUUUGAUACUGGCGUGCUCGAGUGUGGGAGAGGUUGGUGGAACUCCGAGUGUAGAGGUGAAAUUCGUAGAUAUUCGGAAGAACACCAGUGGCGUAGGCGGCCAACUGGCGCAUUACUGACGCUGAGGUGCGAAAGCGUGGGGAGCAAACAGG